rnacentral:rRNA from 1 species
AAAGCAAGGUGCUGCAUGGCUGUCGUCAGCUCGUGUCGUGAGAUGUUGGGUUAAGUCCCGCAACGAGCGCAACCCUCGCCUUUAGUUGCCAUCAUUCAGUUGGGCACUCUAGAGGGACUGCCGGUGAUAAGCCGGAGGAAGGUGGGGAUGACGUCAAGUCCUCAUGGCCCUUACGGGUAGGGCUACACACGUGCUACAAUGGUGGUGACAGUGGGCAGCGACACAGUGAUGUGAUGCUAAUCUCAAAAAGCCAUCUCAGUUCAGAUUGUACUCUGCAACUCGAGUACAUGAAGUUGGAAUCGCUAGUAAUCGUAGAACAGCAUGCUACGGUGAAUACGUUCCCGGGCCUU